ACAGUACUCCCUGCUUGACUCGUGACAGUACUCCCUGCUUGUCUUUACACGCACCUGCUACAGUACCCCCUAUCGACCAUAGACUGUCGCUAGCUCGUGCCUCGGCGACAGACUGUGGCUCUGUACUCGGGCAGCAGCCUUUGAUUUUGUAAGAAGCAGCACAGCUAGCAUCUCCAGCUGCACAGUUCCAAGAGCUAGCUAGAAGAGACAGCCUCGAUCGAGCGCCUCAAUUCAUGGUCCUUGAAGCUUUUCUCUCCACCCGAUUCUUCUUCUCUACUUCGCUCUUUGAUCCGCCGAGGAAAAGGAAGGGUUCAGAUUCUUGCUCCCUGCUCAAAUUCAACUAAUUUAUUGUUUGCUCCAGCCGUCUCCGCUCCCACCGCCAGCCGCCUCCGAUCCCGCUUCUCUCGCCGCCACGACGCCACCAAACGUCAACCUCAACGGUUCUAUCAUUCUAACUAAAGCUAUUUAAUUUUCGUUAUCAUUUAUUCAUAUUAAUUUUAUGCUUAAUUAGAGAUAUUGUAGUCUUGUAGAUAUACAUUGAAAGUUUUUUAUUGCUUAUCGUGUAUAAUUGAUUAUACCCGUAGCAGUUGCUUUCGCUGAAAGAAGUUUUUCAAAAUUAAAAUUAUUAAAAUAUUAUUUAAGAUUGAUCAUGUUACAAUAUAGAUUGAAUGGUUUAGUAAUAUUAUCUAUCGAAAAUAAUAUGUUAGAAAAUAUUAAAUAUAAAACUUUAAUUAGUAAUUUUGCAGCUCAAAAGGUAAGAAGAAUGAGAUAAAAUCUAUUAUGAGCUGUAUCACUUAGGCCUCAUCUAAUAUCUCGCCUUGGGCCCCAAAAUUCCUACGUUUAUUUACCGGUCGUGAUGGACUACUUUUCCAAGUACAAAAUUGUACACUAUUUUCAGCUAUUUUGUUUGAACUUUUCUAUAUGAGCAAAUUUUAUUUCUAUUUCAUGUUCCAUGUGUUUUUUGUUGUUCUAAUUUGUGGGGGAAUAUAAAGUUUAAAUAUAUUGCAUAAGACGAAUGCAAUUAACCUAGAGACCUGAUUGCUUAAUUUCUUCUUUUUCCCCUUGAAUUCAUGUUUAAAUAUAUUGCAUACUACGGAAUUGUCAUGAGACUUGAGGUCUAUAAUAUUAUACUCUAGCAACUGACAUUGUGAGUUUCAUUCAAGACUUCAUCUUUUAUGUACCUAAACAAUUGGUAUUACUUGUUGAAAUUUAAUUUGUAUGCACCUAAACAAAGGCAAGGUUCAUUCAUUAACCAUGUUGCUGACUCUUGAAGAAUAUUAAUCUACUUCAACCAACCAUCUAACUUGGGUUUUGUUUGAGGCAGUGCUUGCUGAAUAGUUAUUUGAUGUUUGAUUAGGGUACAAAAAUAGUCUGCAAUGCAAAUAAUCACAGUCUGCUUUAAUUUUCUUCAAGCAAAUUAUUGUUUUGAAUUAUUUCAAAUUUGACUGGCAUUUGCAAGUGAAGGAUUACUAUGUAUCUUUUCAUUGGUUGAAAAUUUUAUGUUCCGGUCAUAAGAAUAACAAAAAUGCAAGUUUUUUUCCGGAGCUAAUCAAAUAUUUUAUGUAUUACUUGACUUGAAAGAAAUACAUAGAGUUAGCGGUAAAGUUUAGUUUUUAUAUCGUGGAGAUGCACAAAAGUCUAAACCUAUAGACAAUUAUGACUGAAAUUAUGGUCUUCGUUUUUCCUUGUAGAUUAAACUGAAUAGACUCUUUGUUUAGUAUGACUAAGAAGCAAUGCUAUCUAAAUUUUGUAUCCGACAAAAUAUGCAGCUUCUUGAUUGUUAAAUGCAUGCUAAACAAACUUAUUACUAAUGAGCCAAUAACCAAUUCUAAAACUAUAGCUCUGCAAAAAUGAAUGAAAAAUGGGCGCUUGAUGAAGAUUAGAACAAGUGUUAAAGCUGUUACAUAAGUACCAUAUUUUCACAAAGAAAUUUGUCGUUUUAUGUGGUUUGAACAAGUGUUAAAGUUGUUACAUAUGUACCAUAUUUUCACAAAGAAAUUUGUCGUUUUAUGUGGUUUGAUUAAAUUUGGAUAUAACCAAUCAACCGCAUACAAAGCACAAUUCUUUAUUAAAAUAUUAUAGCUUUGAAUAUUAAUUGAACUUCGUUGGAGAGCUUUGGAAACACCCCUAACUAAUAAAAAUAGUGCACAAGAAGAAUUAAUAUUUUAAGUUUUUUAGCUGUUUUCCUCAAUGAUCAAGUGAAGAACUAACAAACUGAUGUUGUUAAGCUUUUUAAAGAGAAAUUAUGUUUUGUUUCAGUAUCAAGCAUGUAGAUAUUGCUCCAUAGACCACAUGCUUUAUGAUAAGAAUCUCUAGCUGUAAUUGCUUGGGUUCUCAUCGGAAGAAUUGGAAAUGGUAAAGAGUUGUGUUUUAGCAGUUGGUGGUGGGGAGAGGCAACGGAUGAGAGUAAGGUUUAAUUGGUUGGUUGUGUAUCAUAUGCUAACUUUCAAAAUGGUGUUUUGAAAACGGUUUUGAAAAAUAAACGCCAUGACAUGAUGUUUUUUAAAAAACACAAAAAAAAAACACUUUGGUUACCAAACGCUUCCUUAAUAAACAAACAUUUCCAAUACUAAUGUUUCUAACUCUAAAAAAAAGAAAACACAUUGAAACACUUUCUUAAUAAGCCAAAAUAAUAAAGGAUGUAAAUUAGUCGCUGGGUGGGAAAAUGGGAGCCUGGGAGGGAGCGGGAGCGGGAGCAUUAUUACCCUUGGAAAGCUUUUAUUUCGACACUGAUGAUAAAUAGGCCGAGAGCAACAAUUCCUCCCCCCGCCACAACAGUAAAGACAGUCAUUACGACCAUGGGGAUUUUGAAAAGCUCCAGGAUAACUAAAAGUACAACCGAUAGGAAGAUCCAGUUUGCAACGACAACCCAAAGAUUGGGGGUUCUGCUACCUAUCCAGUUUGCCAACAUAAUAGCAGUUUUAAAAACAAAAAAAAAACAUAGAGCAACACCCUCAUGGUUUUUAGCCUCUGCCAAACACAAAAAUACUAUAAGAAAAAAUCUCAACUUGAAAGGAAAAACAAAUUUAAAAAAAAAAUAACUAACCUUGUCGUGGGCCUUGGCGUUUCCGUCGGCGCCGACCUUUUUUAGGAGGGUUGCCACCUUCAGCAGACUUCAAACAUGGCCAACAUCCCUUCACAUGCAGACAAAAACAUAAAUAUAUACAAUGGAGAUAAAAAAAUCUCCUUGGGCAAUAUAUACGUUGUAUGUACUAUUCACCCCUAGCUAAUUUUAUCACUUAAUCAUACAUGUUUCAGAUAUAUACUAAUCAAUCAUAUAUUCAUCAGAAUACGUAGCUAUGAGUUCACGUCAAACAAUAGGAAACAACCCUUAUCAAAUAGGAGAUGCACACAUUUAGCGAUGCAUAGCUACACGAUGGAAUUUCAGAUAUAAUUCUUAUCAAAAAUUUUAAGAAAAUUAAAAUAGAUAGAUUCUUAACGGAUUAUGAUAGGGAAAAAAUAGAAGAAUAAAAGUAGUGAUCACAUGCUCCUAUUGUUGAGAGAACAUGAUAAAAUUAGCUUCCUUAUUUUGGAAAUAUUUUAUGUUAUUCUCUUUUUUUAUAUAGCAUUAAGAAAAAUUAGAAAAUGCAUGAAAGAUCAAGAAGAUGAGCACGUGAAAAUAAAGAAACGACUCGGUUUUUUUCAAGUACUUAAAUAUCACACAAAAAGUUAAACAAGAAUAUGUUAUUCUCUUUUUUCACUUAGAAGUUGUGUAUUAAUAAUAUUAUAUGAGAAUAAGCUCUUUUUUAGAAAAUAAAAAGGUUUAAAACUUAAUUUUAGAACAAAAGCAAGCAAAUAUUCAAACUCUGUGACUUUCACUGUUCCUUCUACUGGGAAUCAAACUCUGGUUAUUCUAAAAUAAGUAAAAGAAUCAUAAUAUAAAAUACACGUCCGUAUUUAAAAUUUCAAGGUAUAAAUAAACAUGCAAAAAAUAUAUUAA